rnacentral:lncRNA from 10 species
CUCACCUCAACCCUUUCUCUCUUUUCCCCAUCUUUCUGUGGCUAGCUCCUCCUCAUUCUUUAGGUCUCAGUGUAGAUAGCACCACUAUCAGGAAGGAGUCCAGACACUGCCAGGCCUAAGAUGAGUAAAUGGAGGCUCAGAGACACUAAAUGACCUAACCAAGGUCACUAGCAUGUAAAGUACUAGUGCCCAGACUCUGAUCUGAGUCCUUGGACUUCAAUUCCUGUAACUCCCGCACUGCCAUCAUUUGCCUGACCCUUGGUAUAGCACCAAGGGGUUCUACACAAAGAAGAGUGGAUGCACUUGGAGUAGAUUCACUUCUUCCCAUUCCUCCUGCUAAACUAAACACAGCUAAAGCCCUUGGACAUUAUAUAUAAAACUAACAUAAAAAGACAGAAAGGUGCAGAAAAAGAAGCAGACUGACUAGCAACCUUGGAACCUUGAUUUUGGAACCCAAGAAUUGAAUGGCAGUGAGUUUGUGGAUUUUCUUUUUGCCUCGCAAAUCCUGAACUAGGUGCUAGAGAAGCAGCCCAGAAAUGCCAAAGAGCAUGCACAAAAUAAGGUCCCAAGAAAAGCCUGCUUGUUCUCUUUAGCCAAAGCACUAGGAAGGCAAUUCAGCAAGGCAGAAACUUUUAGAGAAUAACUUUCCUACUCUAGCCAAACACCAUGGAAAAAUAUCACAGCCCUACCACCACCCCUGUUAGCAAAGGCCAAGUGGGGAGCCUAAACUUCCACCUUUAAUUAGCUGUAAGGAGGUACCCUCCCCAGACUCCACCCCUCACCAGGGUGUUAUCAGAGAAUAUGGAGUGGGGAGCUGGGACUUUCAUCCCUAUCCAGAGGUAACGAGCUCUCUAUCCAGCAGCAGUAACAAGGCACCCUUCCAACUCUGCCAGGAUGAAGUCAGAGGAGGCCAUCUGGGAAGUCUGGAAUCCCAUAUCCACCAGUAAAGCACCUUUUUCUCCACUCUGGGUAGUCAAAGGAGGCUGAGUGGAGAACCUGGACCUUCACCCUUGCUUGGCAUUAGCAAAAUGAAACUCCCUCCCUUAACAGGCAUGGUGUCAGAGGAAGCCUGCUAAAACAGAAGAUUUAAGUAAGAUCCAGAGUCUCAUAACACCCAAAAUGUCCAGUGUACAAUUAAAAAAUCACACAUCACACCAAGAACCAGGAAAAUCUCAACUUGAAUGAAAAAAAAAAUCAGCAGAUGGCAACACCGAGAUGACACAGAUAUUGGAAUUAUCUGACAAAGAUAUGAAUACUCUUGGCACAAAAAAUAGAAAAUCUUAUUGAAUAGAAGCUAAAUGGAAAUUUUAGAACUGAAAAAUAUAACCACCAAAGUAAAAAAAAUCCAUUGGAUGAGUUCAAUGGCAGAACAAAGGGGACAGAAGAAAGAAUCCAUGAACUUGAAAACAGA